CCUACGGGUGGCAGCAGUGGGGAAUAUUGCACAAUGGGGGAAACCCUGAUGCAGCGACGUCGCGUGAGUGAAGAAGUAUCUCGGUAUGUAAAGCUCUAUCAGCAGGGAAGAAAAUGACGGUACCUGAUUAAGAAGCCCCGGCUAACUACGUGCCAGCAGCCGCGGUAAUCCGGAGGGGGCAAGCGUUAACCGGGUUUACUGGGUGGAAAGGGAGCGUAGAUGGGAGCACAAGUCUGGAGUGAAAUGCCGGGGCUUAACCCCGGAACUGCCUUGGAAACUGUUCAGCUAGAGUGCAGGAGAGGUAAGUGGAAUGCCUAGUGUAGCGGUGAAAUGCGUAGAUAUUAGGAGGAACACCAGUGGCGAAGGCGGCUUACUGGACUGUAACUGACGUUGAGGCUCGAAAGCGUGGGGAGCAAACAGGAUUAGAUACCCCGGUAGUC
rnacentral:rRNA from 1 species